CUGAAUUAUACACAGAACUGCUAGCUUUCGCCAACCUUCUGAGUCCUGGUUUUAAUAAUAUUCACAGAAGGAGCAGAACUUCGAUUAAGGUCACCUUUUAUGUUGUCAAUUGUAGAUUCCAGGGUCAACAUUCCACAGCAGGAAAGCUUUAGUUGUUUAGCGCAAUGUGCCUGAUAUUGUCCUUACCCAUCAAAUUUUUCACAACUUUGCGGUGAACA